ensembl:snRNA U6 U6 spliceosomal RNA
GCACUCACUUCGGCAGCACAUAUACUAAAAUUGGAACUAUACAGAGAAGAUCACCAUGGCCCCUUCACCAGGGUGGCACACCAAUUCAUGAAGAGUUCUUUCUUUUU